rnacentral:rRNA from 1 species
UGGGGAAUAUUGCACAAUGGGGGGAACCCUGAUGCAGCGACGCCGCGUGAGUGAAGAAGUAUUUCGGUAUGUAAAGCUCUAUCAGCAGGGAAGAAAAUGACGGUACCUGACUAAGAAGCCCCGGCUAACUACGUGCCAGCAGCCGCGGUAAUACGUAGGGGGCAAGCGUUAUCCGGAUUUACUGGGUGUAAAGGGAGCGUAGACGGCAGAGCAAGUCAGAAGUGAAAGCCCGCGGCUCAACUGCGGGACUGCUUUUGAAACUGUUCAGCUGGAGUGCAGGAGAGGCAAGCGGAAUUCCUAGUGUAGCGGUGAAAUGCGUAGAUAUUAGGAGGAACACCAGUGGCGAAGGCGGCUUGCUGGACUGUAACUGACGUUGAGGCUCGAAAGCGUGGGGAGCAAACAGG